AGAUUGCAAACUAAGAGUAAGAGAUGGCUCGUACCAAGCAAACUGCGCGCAAGUCAACUGGAGGGAAAGCUCCAAGGAAGAGUCUGGCCACCAAGAUUGCUUAUAAGUCUGCCCCUACCGCUGGAGGUGUGAAAAAGCCACACAGAUUCCGCCCUGGUACUGUUGCUCUUCGUGAAAUCCGCAAGUACCAGAAAAGUACUGAUCUCCUGAUCAGGAAGCUGCCAUUCCAGAGGCUUGUUCGUGAAACUGCACAGAACUACAAGAGUGACCUGCGUUUUAAUAGUCAUGCGAUACUGGCAUUGCAGGAGGCUUCUGAGGCUUACCUUGUGGGUCUUUUCGAGGACACCAAUCUCUGUGCUAUCCAUGCAAAGAGAGUUACAAUCAUGUCGAAAGAUAUGCAGCUGGCUCGGAGGAUCAGGGUUUUAUGUAGGGGCGGAGCCAAAAAUGUUCCAAAGAGGAAGAUCUAGAUGGCUCGUACUAAGCAAACUGCUCGCAAGUCAACCGGAGGAAAGGCUCCAAGGAAGAGUCUGGCCACCAAGAUUGCUUAUAAGUCUGCUCCUACGUCUGGAGGUGUGAAGAAGCCACACAGAUUCCGCCCUGGUACUGUUGCUCUUCGCGAAAUCCGCAAGUACCAAAAAAGCACUGAUCUCCUGAUCAGAAAGCUGCCAUUCCAGAGGCUUGUUCGAGAAAUUGCCCAAGAAUACAAGAGUGAUCUACGUUUUAAUAGCCAUGCGGUGUUUGCAUUGCAGGAGUCUGCUGAGGCUUACCUUGUGGGUCUUUUCGAGGACACCAAUCUCUGCGCUAUCCACGCAAGGCGAGUUACCAUCAUGCCGAAAGAUAUGCAGCUGGCUAGGAGGAUCAGGGGUGAGCGUUCUUAG